rnacentral:rRNA from 1 species
UACGGGGGAGGGCAAGCGUUUGUUCGGAUUUACUGGGCGUAAAGGGCGCGUAGGCGGCGUGACAAGUCACUUGUGAAAUCUCCGGGCUUAACCCGGAGCGGCCAAGUGAUACUGUCGUGCUAGAGUGCGGAAGGGGCUACUGGAAUUCUCGGUGUAGCGGUGAAAUGCGUAGAUAUCGAGAGGAACACCUGCGGCGAAGGCGGGUAGCUGGGCCGACACUGACGCUGAGGCGCGAAAGCCAGGGGAGCGAACGGG